UACAGAGGUCUCGAGCGUUGUUCGGAUUCAUUGGGCGUAAAGGGUGCGUAGGCGGGUCUUUAAGUCAGGGGUGAAAUCCUGGAGCUCAACUCCAGAACUGCCUUUGAUACUGAGGAUCUUGAGUUCGGGAGAGGUGAGUGGAACUGCGAGUGUAGAGGUGAAAUUCGUAGAUAUUGGGAAGAACACCGGUGGCGAAGGCGGCGACCUGGUCCGAUACUGACGCUGAGGCGCGAAAGCGUGGGGAGCAAACAGG
rnacentral:rRNA from 1 species